CGAGCGGGGGAUGUUGCUUCGCUAACUGACCUAGCGGCGGACGGGUGAGUAAUGCUUAGGAAUCUGCCUAUUAGUGGGGGACAACAUUCCGAAAGGAAUGCUAAUACCGCAUACGCCCUACGGGGGAAAGCAGGGGAUCUUCGGACCUUGCGCUAAUAGAUGAGCCUAAGUCAGAUUAGCUAGUUGGUGGGGUAAAGGCCUACCAAGGCGACGAUCUGUAGCGGGUCUGAGAGGAUGAUCCGCCACACUGGGACUGAGACACGGCCCAGACUCCUACGGGAGGCAGCAGUGGGGAAUAUUGGACAAUGGGCGGAAGCCUGAUCCAGCCAUGCCGCGUGUGUGAAGAAGGCCUUUUGGUUGUAAAGCACUUUAAGCGAGGAGGAGGCUACCGAGACUAAUACUCUUGGAUAGUGGACGUUACUCGCAGAAUAAGCACCGGCUAACUCUGUGCCAGCAGCCGCGGUAAUACAGAGGGUGCGAGCGUUAAUCGGAUUUACUGGGCGUAAAGCGUGCGUAGGCGGCUUUUUAAGUCGGAUGUGAAAUCCCUGAGCUUAACUUAGGAAUUGCAUUCGAUACUGGGAAGCUAGAGUAUGGGAGAGGAUGGUAGAAUUCCAGGUGUAGCGGUGAAAUGCGUAGAGAUCUGGAGGAAUACCGAUGGCGAAGGCAGCCAUCUGGCCUAAUACUGACGCUGAGGUACGAAAGCAUGGGGAGCAAACAGGAUUAGAUACCCUGGUAGUCCAUGCCGUAAACGAUGUCUACUAGCCGUUGGGGCCUUUGAGGCUUUAGUGGCGCAGCUAACGCGAUAAGU
rnacentral:rRNA from 1 species